GAGGGUGUAGCUCCAUGGUAGAGUGUGAGCUUAGCAUACAGGAGAUCCUGGGUUCAAUCCCCAGUACCUCCA
rnacentral:tRNA from 1 species